GUUGUCAGCUUUGCCACUGCUCAUAAGAUUUUUCCCAUCUGUGUAAUCAGUUGUCAAGAUAUAUCUUUUUGCUUCUAGAAGGUAUUCAUUCUGCCUACACCUGAUGCUAUUUUUCCUAUGCGGUGUUGUUUUCAUGCCUGAAAUUCCAAUGGAAAUAAUGAGCUGAAAAUACAGUAAAUUCCAAUAGCAUCUGUUUUGUUAUUGCUAAUGGUAGUGCUGUUUUUUGGUUGGUUCUAGUGAAAUUCAUGGUUCUGAAUGGUGCUAGCUCAACAGCCCCUAUACUGAUGUUUUUCUUUUCAGUAGAGCAGAUACAGGAACCAUGUAGGCUUUACUAAAGCUCUCAGCAAGACUGAGAGCAGCAUACCCCCUUGGUUAUAUCUUUGCAACAACUGACAAUGAAGGAGCCUAUUACAAGUGCAAACAUUGUUCAUAACGUGUGCUGUAGGCUGUGAUUCACAACAAAUAGCCUAAGACAAACCCAUUUCACAGCUCUCCCAGCAGCAGGAUGGGAUCCCAUUUGUGGCUGGAACUCUCUGAGUGCUUCCUGAGGAAGGCAAAGGAAAAUCUUUGUAGGGAGAUUUAGAUGAGAUGACGGUGACUGAUUGCACACCCUGAAGAGGCCUUGACCCAGCUGACUGAUUUAUUCAGACUUGUCUCAGCUCUUGGUAAUGUCACUUUCCACAGGGAGUUCAAAAUAGAAGCACAACAGUGGUAGGCUUUCCUACAUUGAAGAAAUCUCUCUUUGAAGAAUUCAUUCCUCUGGAAUCAACACAAGUCUAGAAGAAGAAACUCCUGCGUAUGAUGAAUCUCAGUGCAGACCUCUUAUGUCUGUAUAAAUGUGAGCCCUUUUAUUUUGCAUUUCUUCGGCUGUCAGAAACAUACUGACUCCUCUCAGACAUGUAUUAGGUAGUGCCUCGAGUUCCCACCAGGACACUGCUUCCUUGGGUGGGACAGUGGGCUGGAGGAGCGAGAAAAUCACAGGAUCACAGCGUGGUUAAGGUUGCAAGGUGAUCUGCUCCAUCUGGACCAACUGUUUGAGCAGGGACACCUGGAGCAGGCUGCCCAGACCCACGUCCAGGUGGCUUUUGAAGAUCUUUGUGGAGCUGACUCCGCAGCUUCUCUCUCCCUAGCAACCUGUGCCAGUACUCUGUCACCUGCGUGAUAAAGAAUCUUGUCAGGACUUCUGGCAUUUUAUUUCAAGCAUUCUUUUCUGUGCAGCAUCUUUGUGCAAUUUUUUCAAGAACUGAAAGAGUCACAUGUGCAGACUGACCUCGAUGAGCAUUCAAGAGCCGGAUCUGUUCAUGUCUUCCAAAUGCAGACUCCCCAUCUUUCCUCUCUCUCUUUGUCAGCAAUUACAUGAGCUCAUUGUUGGUCAGAUCCAGCAACUGAAGUACCAGUGGGAUUCUGAUCUAAUUUGGUGUCCCAUCAAAUUCUUUGAUAUAGCUAUACAACAGCUCAAUGUUUUAGUGUGUAGAGUUAAAAAAAACUGCUCUCCUGGGUGUAUUGGGCCUGCUGAUGUUUUCUUGGCUUUUAGAACAGAAAAUCUAACUAAAAUAAUAACCGCAUGAACUACCUCAUUUUUUCCUAUUUAUUAUUGUUACUCAAGCACAUGGUAUGCCUGAAGGUAAGCUAGCCAAGAAAGCAGUGUAGACAAACUAAGAGCAAGCAAACACUAUGGAGAGCCAGCACAGAGCAUCAUGAUCCAAACCAGGGAAACUCCAGCUGCUGGGUUAAUUAUUGUUAUUUAGUCACAUGCCAGAAAGCAUGUGAUUAAUUGCAGCGAGAAAAUGCACUGCCCUUCAUUGACUUUAAAAGGAUUCCACCUGCCAAGAAGAAAGAUGAAAUCUGGGAAGUUAAAAGGCUGAAACAUUAAAAAGGAAGAGGGAGAUAGAAGUUGAUAGUGGUUCUGUAGCAGGGGCAAGACUGCGUGCAUGAGUAAGGGACUGACUCGCUUAUUCCUAGAGGUGAGGACUGCUUUCCAUUCUCACUGCUGGAGAAUUCAUUUACCUCCAGCCAGGUCAUUUCACUCCAGAAAAGGAUGAGCAACAUUUGUGGUCUUUAGUUACAAGAAGAUUUGCUUUGCUGACUAAACAUGUUAGGACUUUUGAGGCAAAGAGAGCCAUAGAAGGAACAGUGCUCUCUCCCCCAGCAGAUCUGCCUGGUGAAGGAGUCCCCACGGCAGCAGGGAAGCUGCUUUACCAUCUCACCUCCAGCUGAUGACAGAGCUGGAGUUUAUCAGCAUGCUG